rnacentral:rRNA from 1 species
AGGGAAUCUUCCGCAAUGGACGAAAGUCUGACGGAGCAACGCCGCGUGAGUGAUGAAGGUUUUCGGAUCGUAAAGCUCUGUUGCCAGGGAAGAACGUCUUAGAGAGUAACUGCUCUAAGAGUGACGGUACCUGAGAAGAAAGCCCCGGCUAACUACGUGCCAGCAGCCGCGGUAAUAAGUAGGGGGCGAGCGUUGUCCGGAAUUAUUGGGCGUAAAGCGCGCGCGGGCGGCUGUUUAAGUCUGGUGGUUAAUCCUGGGGCUCAACCCCGGGUCGCACUGGAAACUGGGCAGCUUGAGUGCAGAAGAGGAGAGUGGAAUUCCACGUGUAGCGGUGAAAUGCGUAGAGAUGUGGAGGAACACCAGUGGCGAAGGCGACUCUCUGGGCUGUAACUGACGCUGAGGCGCGAAAGCGUGGGGAGCAAAC